rnacentral:rRNA from 1 species
UACCAAGUCGAUUAUCUUUAGCUGGUCUGGGGAGGAUGGUCAGCCACAUUAGAUCUGGAAAAACGUCUAACUAUCGAAGUGGUAGCAGCAGUGGGGAAUCUUGGACAAUGUGUUAACACACGAUCCAGCAAUAUCUUAGAGACUAUGAAGGUUUGAGAGAACUGAAAGGUUUAGAAUAAUAAAAGAACAAGGUAUUUCUUGACUUACUUUUAUUAUGUAAGCUCCGACUAAUUUCGUGCCAGCAGUCGCGGUAAGACGAGAGGAGCAAGUGUUAUUCGUGCUGAUUGGGCGUAAAGGGUAUGUAGACGGUUAAAUAAGUUUAAAGUUAAAAACAAUGAGCUUAACUCUUGAGAAGCUUUUUAAUACUAUUUAACUUUGAGUAUAUUAGAAAAUAGUGGGAUUUUUAGAGGAAAGGUAAAAUUUAAUGAUUUUAAGGAGACGAAGCUUGCGAAGGCGAC